rnacentral:ncRNA from 1 species
UAGUGACUGGAGUGAAGUCGUAACAAGGUAGCCGUACUGGAAGGUGCGGCUGGAUCACCUCCUUU